rnacentral:rRNA from 1 species
GAUGAACGCUAGCGACAGGCUUAACACAUGCAAGUCGAGGGGCAGCGGGGUGUAGCAAUACACCGCCGGCGACCGGCGCACGGGUGAGUAACGCGUAUGCAACUUACCUAUCAGAGGGGGAUAACCCGGCGAAAGUCGGACUAAUACCGCAUGAAGCAGGGGCCCCGCAUGGGGAUAUUUGCUAAAGAUUCAUCGCUGAUAGAUAGGCAUGCGUUCCAUUAGGCAGUUGGCGGGGUAACGGCCCACCAAACCGACGAUGGAUAGGGGUUCUGAGAGGAAGGUCCCCCACAUUGGUACUGAGACACGGACCAAACUCCUACGGGAGGCAGCAGUGAGGAAUAUUGGUCAAUGGGCGUAAGCCUGAACCAGCCAAGUCGCGUGAGGGAUGAAGGUUCUAUGGAUCGUAAACCUCUUUUAUAAGGGAAUAAAGUGCGGGACGUGUCCCGUUUUGUAUGUACCUUAUGAAUAAGGAUCGGCUAACUCCGUGCCAGCAGCCGCGGUAAUACGGAGGAUCCGAGCGUUAUCCGGAUUUAUUGGGUUUAAAGGGUGCGUAGGCGGCCUUUUAAGUCAGCGGUGAAAGUCUGUGGCUCAACCAUAGAAUUGCCGUUGAAACUGGGAGGCUUGAGUAUGUUUGAGGCAGGCGGAAUGCGUGGUGUAGCGGUGAAAUGCAUAGAUAUCACGCAGAACCCCGAUUGCGAAGGCAGCCUGCCAAGCCAUGACUGACGCUGAUGCACGAAAGCGUGGGGAUCAAACAGGAUUAGAUACCCUGGUAGUCCACGCAGUAAACGAUGAUCACUAGCUGUUUGCGAUACAGUGUAAGCGGCACAGCGAAAGCGUUAAGUGAUCCACCUGGGGAGUACGCCGGCNACGGUGAAACUCAAAGGAAUUGACGGGGGCCCGCACAAGCGGAGGAACAUGUGGUUUAAUUCGAUGAUACGCGAGGAACCUUACCCGGGUUUGAACGCAUUCGGGACCGAGGUUGAAACACUUUUCUAGCAAUAGCCGUUUGCGAGUGCUGCAUGAUUGUCGUCAGCUCGUGCGUGAGGUGUUCGGCUUAGUGCAUAACCGAGCGCACCCUUGCCACUAGUUUACUUA